rnacentral:tRNA from 1 species
AUUUAAAUAGUUUAAUAAAAAAAUAUUGAUUUGUGGUGUCAAAGAUGUAAUUUUUACUUUAGAUC